GCUCAGUCUCCCUGAGAAGCAAAGACUGAAUCAUCUAAACUGCAAAUUGGGAGCAUUCUGGAAAUUCCAGUCUUGGUAAAUAAGAACUUUUGGUGCAUGUUUUCCUGCAAGUCGUGUAGGAAAGUCCAGCAUUUUUUCUCAAGAUUUUAGACAUGGAAAAAAACAAACCUGCAACUAAUCCUUGAACACACUUGAUCUAGUUCAACUAUAGAGGAAUUCAAGCUCAGCAGAUCUUUGAAUGAAAGAUCUGUGUAGAGGAAGAGACCAAAAAAAA